UACGUAGGCAGCAAGCGUUGUUCGGAAUUACUGGGCGUAAAGAGUGUGUAGGCGGUGUUCUAAGUUUGUCGUGAAAUCUCCCGGCUUAACUGGGAGGGUGCGGCGAAAACUGGAAUGCUAGAGGAUGGGAGAGGUAAGCGGAAUUCCUGGUGUAGCGGUGAAAUGCGUAGAUAUCAGGAGGAACACCUGUGGUGUAGACAGCUUACUGGACCAUUUCUGACGCUGAGACGCGAAAGCGUGGGGAGCAAACAGG
rnacentral:rRNA from 1 species